GAUGAAGAACGUAGUAAAAUGCGAUACUUGGUGUGAAUUGCAGAAUCCCGUGAACCAUCGAGUUUUUGAACGCAAGUUGCGCCCGAAGCCUUUUGGCCGAGGGCACGUCUGCCUGGGCGUCACGCAUCGCGUCGCCCCCCACAAUUCUCCGUAAAGGGAACAUGUGUUUUGGGGGCGGAUAUUGGUCUCCCGUGCUCAUGGCGUGGUUGGCCGAAAUAGGAGUCCUUUCGAUGGACGCACGAACUAGUGGUGGUCGUAAACACCCUCGUCUUUUGUUUCGUGCUGUUGCUCGCAAGGUAAACUCUUUAAAAACCCCAAUGUGUCGUCUCUUGACGACGCUUCGACCGCGACCCCAGGUCAGGCGGGACUACCCGCUGAGUUUAAGCAUAUCAAUAAGCGGAGGA
rnacentral:misc_RNA from 1 species